UACGUAGGGUGCAAGCGUUAAUCGGAUUUACUGGGCGUAAAGGGUGCGUAGGCGGUGGGGUAAGUUUGAGGUGAAAGCUCCGGGCUCAACCCGGAAACUGCCUUGAAAACUAUCCUGCUAGAGGGUUGGAGGGGAGACUGGAAUUCUCGGUGUAGCAGUGAAAUGCGUAGAUCUCGAGAGGAACACCAGUGGCGAAGGCGGGUCUCUGGACAACACCUGACGCUGAGGCACGAAAGCCAGGGGAGCAAACGGG
rnacentral:rRNA from 1 species